rnacentral:tRNA from 1 species
UAAAAGAUAAGCUAAAUUAAAGCUUUUGGACUCAUAAUUCAAAUAUGAAAAUAAAUUCUCUUUUUA